GAUGAACGCUAGCAGAAUGCUUAACACAUGCAAGUCGAACGAGAAUCUGAGAGUAGCUUGCUACACUUAGAGGAAAGUGGCAGACGGGUGAGUAACACGUACAUAACAUACCCUGGAGAAUGGAACAACUGUUGAAAGGCAGCUAAUUCCGUAUACGAUCUAUAAGAAGAGAUGCUUAUAGAUGAAAGAUUUAUCGCUCUAGGAGUGGUGUGCGGACUAUCAGUUAGUUGGUGAGGUAAAAGCUCACCAAGACUAAGACGGAUAGCCGAUCUGAGAGGAUGACCGGCCACAAUGGGACUGAGACAAGGCCCAUACUCCUACGGGAGGCAGCAGUGGGGAAUAUUGCACAAUGGAGGAAACUCUGAUGCAGCAAUUCUGCGUGCAUGAAGAAGCCUUGCGGGGUGUAAAGUGCUUUUUUGGGUGAAGACGAAUGACGGUAACCCAAGAAUAAGGGAUGGCUAACUACGUGCCAGCAGCCGCGGUAAUACGUAGGUCCCGAGCGUUAUCCGGAGUUACUGGGCGUAAAGAGUCUGUAGCCGGUUUAAUAAGUCUAUUUUCAAAUACCAGAACUCAAUUGUGGAGAGGGGAUAGAUACUGUUAGACUAGAGUAAAGGAGAGGUUAGUGGAAUUUCCUGUGGAGAGGUGAAAUUCGUUGAUAUAGGAAGGAACGCAGAAAGUGAAGACAGCUAACUAGCCUUGUAACUGACGGUGAGAGACGAAAGUUUGGGUAGCGAACAGGAUUAGAUACCCUGGUAGUCCAAACUGUAAAUGAUGCACGCUAGGUGUUGGUCUUAAGGGAUCAGUGCUGUAAUCAAACGAGUUAAGCGUGCCGCCUGUGGAGUAUAGUCGCAAGAUUGAAACACAAAGGGAUAGGCGGGGGAACACACAAGCGGUGGAUUACCUCGAUUAAUUGGAUAAUAAGCCAAGAAUCUUACCUGGGUUUGAAAUAUGAUGUGUCACAUGUGAAAGCAUGUUAUUAUAUACUUGUAUAUAAGCGUUAUACAGGCGCUGCAUGGCCGUCGUCAGCUCGUGCCGCGAGGUGUCUAGUUAAGUCUAGGAACGAGCGCAACCCUCAUACCUAGUUAGAAUGUCUAGGUAGACUGCCUGGGUAACCAGGAGGAAGGAGAGGAUAACGUCAGGUCACUAUGGCCCUUAUACCCAGGGCGUCAGAGAUAAUACAAUGAGUAGUACAGAGGGAAGCGAAGCUGUGAAGUGGAGCAAAACUUACAAAGCUGUUCUAAGUGCGGAUUGUAGUCUGGAACUCGACUAUAUGAAGUUGGAAUCGCUAGUAAUCGUGGGUCAGCCAUACCACGGUGAAUAUGUCCCUGUUCCU
rnacentral:rRNA from 1 species